rnacentral:rRNA from 1 species
UCGAGCGGACAGAUGGGAGCUUGCUCCCUGAUGUUAGCGGCGGACGGGUGAGUAACACGUGGGUAACCUGCCUGUAAGACUGGGAUAACUCCGGGAAACCGGGGCUAAUACCGGAUGCUUGAUUGAACCGCAUGGUUCAAUUAUAAAAGGUGGCUUUUAGCUACCACUUACAGAUGGACCCGCGGCGCAUUAGCUAGUUGGUGAGGUAACGGCUCACCAAGGCGACGAUGCGUAGCCGACCUGAGAGGGUGAUCGGCCACACUGGGACUGAGACACGGCCCAGACUCCUACGGGAGGCAGCAGUAGGGAAUCUUCCGCAAUGGACGAAAGUCUGACGGAGCAACGCCGCGUGAGUGAUGAAGGUUUUCGGAUCGUAAAACUCUGUUGUUAGGGAAGAACAAGUACCGUUCGAAUAGGGCGGUACCUUGACGGUACCUAACCAGAAAGCCACGGCUAACUACGUGCCAGCAGCCGCGGUAAUACGUAGGUGGCAAGCGUUGUCCGGAAUUAUUGGGCGUAAAGCGCGCGCAGGCGGUUUCUUAAGUCUGAUGUGAAAGCCCCCGGCUCAACCGGGGAGGGUCAUUGGAAACUGGGGAACUUGAGUGCAGAAGAGGAGAGUGGAAUUCCACGUGUAGCGGUGAAAUGCGUAGAGAUGUGGAGGAACACCAGUGGCGAAGGCGACUCUCUGGUCUGUAACUGACGCUGAGGCGCGAAAGCGUGGGGAGCGAACAGGAUUAGAUACCCUGGUAGUCCACGCCGUAAACGAUGAGUGCUAAGUGUUAGAGGGUUUCCGCCCUUUAGUGCUGCAGCAAACGCAUUAAGCACUCCGCCUGGGGAGUACGGUCGCAAGACUGAAACUCAAAGGAAUUGACGGGGGCCCGCACAAGCGGUGGAGCAUGUGGUUUAAUUCGAAGCAACGCGAAGAACCUUACCAGGUCUUGACAUCCUCUGACAACCCUAGAGAUAGGGCUUCCCCUUCGGGGGCAGAGUGACAGGUGGUGCAUGGUUGUCGUCAGCUCGUGUCGUGAGAUGUUGGGUUAAGUCCCGCAACGAGCGCAACCCUUGAUCUUAGUUGCCAGCAUUCAGUUGGGCACUCUAAGGUGACUGCCGGUGACAA